UGGGGAAUAUUGCACAAUGGGGGAAACCCUGAUGCAGCGACGCCGCGUGAACGAAGAAGGUAUUCGUAUCGUAAAGUUCUGUCCUAUGGGAAGAUAAUGACAGUACCAUAGAAGAAAGCUCCGGCUAAAUACGUGCCAGCAGCCGCGGUAAUACGUAUGGAGCGAGCGUUGUCCGGAAUUAUUGGGCGUAAAGGGUACGCAGGCGGUUUAAUAAGUCGAAUGUUAAAGAUCGGGGCUCAACCCCGUAAAGCAUUGGAAACUGAUAAACUGGAGUAGUGGAGAGGAAAGUGGAAUUCCUAGUGUAGUGGUGAAAUACGUAGAUAUUAGGAGGAAUACCAGUAGCGAAGGCGACUGUCUGGACACAAACUGACGCUGAGGUACGAAAGCGUGGGGAGCAAACAGG
rnacentral:rRNA from 1 species